rnacentral:pre_miRNA from 1 species
GAGACACCCUUAUGGAGUAGGACUUGCUUCAGUGGGGCUUUGGUGCUCACUGAGUCUGCUUCUUGAAUGUGUCCCU